GACGAACGCUGGCGGCGUGCCUAACACAUGCAAGUCGAGCGAUGAAGUUUCCUUCGGGAAACGGAUUAGCGGCGGACGGGUGAGUAACACGUGGGUAACCUGCCUCAUAGAGGGGAAUAGCCUCCCGAAAGGGAGAUUAAUACCGCAUAACAUUGCAGUUUCGCAUGAAACAGCAAUUAAAGGAGCAAUCCGCUAUGAGAUGGACCCGCGGCGCAUUAGCUAGUUGGUAAGGUAAUGGCUUACCAAGGCGACGAUGCGUAGCCGACCUGAGAGGGUGAUCGGCCACAUUGGGACUGAGACACGGCCCAG
rnacentral:rRNA from 1 species